rnacentral:rRNA from 1 species
GCCUGAUGGAGGGGGAUAACUACUGGAAACGGUAGCUAAUACCGCAAACGUCGCAAGACCAAAGUGGGGGACCUUCGGGCCUCAUGCCAUCAGAUGUGCCCAGAUGGGAUUAGCUAGUAGGUGGGGUAACGGCUCACCUAGGCGACGAUCCCUAGCUGGUCUGAGAGGAUGACCAGCCACACUGGAACUGAGACACGGUCCAGACUCCUACGGGAGGCAGCAGUGGGGAAUAUUGCACAAUGGGCGCAAGCCUGAUGCAGCCAUGCCGCGUGUGUGAAGAAGGCCUUCGGGUUGUAAAGCACUUUCAGCGGGGAGGAAGGCGUUGAGGUUAAUAACCUUGGCGAUUGACGUUACCCGCAGAAGAAGCACCGGCUAACUCCGUGCCAGCAGCCGCGGUAAUACGGAGGGUGCAAGCGUUAAUCGGAAUUACUGGGCGUAAAGCGCACGCAGGCGGUCUGUCAAGUCGGAUGUGAAAUCCCCGGGCUCAACCUGGGAACUGCAUUCGAAACUGGCAGGCUAGAGUCUUGUAGAGGGGGGUAGAAUUCCAGGUGUAGCGGUGAAAUGCGUAGAGAUCUGGAGGAAUACCGGGUGGCGAAGGCGGCCCCCUGGACAAAGACUGACGCUCAGGUGCGAAAGCGUGGGGAGCAAACAGGAUUAGAUACCCUGGUAGUCCACGCCGUAACGAUGUCGAUUUGGAGGUUGUGCCCUUGAGGCGUGGCUUCCGGAGCUAACGCGUUAAAUCGACCGCCUGGGGGAGUACGGCCGCAAGGUUAAAACUCAAUGAUUGACGGGGGCCCGCACAAGCGGUGGGAGCAUGUGGUUUUAAUUUCGAUGCACGCGAAGAACCUUACCUGGUCUUGACAUCCACCAGAACUUUCCAGAGAUGCAUUGGUGCCUUUCGGGAACUGUGAGACAGGUGCUGCAGUGCUUGUCGUCAGCUCGUGUUUGUGAAAUGUUAGGGUUAAGUCCCGCAACCGAGCAGAAUCCUCUCAUCCAUUGUGGCCAGCGGGUCAGGCCGGGGACCUCAAAGGGAGACUGGCCAGAUGAUUAA